GAUGAGUAUGUAUUAUCUCUGUUUUCUUUUCUUUUUUGUUGUUGUUAUUUCUUUGGGCCGCUCCCACGGCAUAUGGAGGUUCCCAGGCUAGGGAUCGAAUCGGAGCUGUAGCUGCCAGCCUACACCACAGCUCAUGGCAACACCGGAUCCUUAACCCACUGAGCAAGGGCAGGGACCGAACCCGCAACCUCAUGGUUCCUAGUCGGAUUCGUUAACCACUGCACCACGACGGGAACUCCUCUGUUUUAAAUAUAAUUUAUUUAAUUGUAUGUUUGCAUGAUUUAUUUUUAAAUAAUGGCCGUUUAACAACCGGUUCCAUAACUCCUGAGAUUUCAAAACAAUCGGCUUGCUUGGGGUGGCUCCAGCACACUGCUGUUGCUGUCACGCCCAUUUCUUAGAAAGGGAAACCGAGGCUCAGGAAGUUGUUCGAACAGACAGGGACAGACAGGGCAUAGAUCCCAAGCCAGGACUCGGCCAUGCCUCGCUUUCCUUCAUCCCACACUGGUCUAGAGGGCGCAGGUGGUCCCCACGAGAUCAUGUGACCUCGGGAAAGCCUUUGCCCUCUCUGUCCUCAGUUGGCCCAUCCAGAGAGUGGCCCGCUCAGAAAGUGAAUACUUGCCUGGGUUUCGUGUGCACCAGAUUCAGCCCUUGGGGGGAGGUAACAUGUGGAUCCUCGCCCUCACUUUAUAGACUGGGAAACUGAGGCCCGCAAAGAUCAAGUCCUCGCCAAGAGUUACAUACGUGGACAGAGUCCUGGAACCCCAGCUCCGCUGCAGAGGAGAGGAGGCUGCAGCCCACAACCUCGGGGUCUGGAGUUUUCUGCGAGCUGGGAGGCAGCGUUGCUGGAGAGGUUGGUCACCCUUCCCCAGUGGCUCCGCCCAGACACCAUUCCCCCCAGCACCCUUGGCCCUCGGUCCCCAGAGCUUCCUGGACUGGGGAGGAGGGGACCGGGAGGGAGAAUGUGGACAGCGCCGCCUGCCGGGUUCUUGCCUCUGGGGGGACUCUCGGUCUGUCUCUGCCGCUUUAUCUCCAUUCUCUUCACCGGGUCUCUGCAUCCCUGUCUCUGUCUCCGCGUGCGAGUCUUUGUCGCUCUCUUCUGUGUCUCCGUCUCUCCUUCUGUCUCUUUGUAUGUGUCUCUCGUUCCCUACGUUUCUCCCUCUUUCUGCCUUUCUCUUUUAGUCUCGCCAUUCUUUGGCUGUCUUUUUGUCUCUUUCUGAGUCUGUCUCUGCCUCUCUCAGUAUCUUUCUGUGCGCCUCUGGCUCUCUGCCUUGAUUGAUGUUUCUCUCCCCUUCUCCUCCGACGAGUCUUUACUCUCCGGUGAGAAGAGGCUGGCCGAGAACGCGCCCAGACCUGCCUCCGCCCCCAGAGCCCCGGGCCGCUGAGGGCCUGCGCCUUUAAGUGCUGGCGGCAGGGGGCGGGGUCUUGUCGGCCCCGCCCUGCCCGCCCCUCCCCGUGACGUCUCUUCCCAGCCCCUCCACCGCCUCCCUCCGCCGCCGCCGCACCAGCCAGCUCUGCUGCGCCCACUCCCCGGCCUCCGCCCGCCGUCCUGCCCGCCGCCCCAUGGCGCCCCAGGCCCUAGUUGUGCGGGGCCGCUAGGACCCUAGGCGUCCCCUUCCCUCCCCCCCUCCCACGGCGCGAACCCGGGUGUCCCCGGCGCCCAGCUUUGGAGCUUCGCGUCCCUGAAGAGAGGGGACCCCCCCCCCACCUCGCCGCCCAGUCUCCUGGGACCCGGAGAAAAUGUCUUCGCGGACGGCGCUGGCCCCGGGCAACGACCGGAACUCGGACACGGACCAGCGCAGGACAAAUGUCAAGAACUCAUGUGCAAGUGUGACCAGGCGGUUGCUUACUGCUUAGCCCAAACCGAGUACACCAUCAAGUACCUCUUCUACCCCCGUUUUCUGUGUGAGAAGGACUCACCCAAAUGUGACUGACUAGCCUGACUUGAAAUGUCUUUUUUGCACAAGGAAAUAAAACUCCUUUUUGCGUAUCAA